CGGGGCGUGGCUCAGCCUGGUAGAGCACCGCGUUCGGGACGCGGGGGUCGGAGGUUCGAAUCCUCUCGCCCCGACCA
rnacentral:tRNA from 4 species